rnacentral:rRNA from 1 species
CAGUAGCCGCGGGAAUACGUAGGGUGCGAGCGUUAAUCGGAAUUACUGGGCGUAAAGCGUGCGCAGGCGGUUUUGUAAGACAGGCGUGAAAUCCCCGGGCUCAACCUGGGAAUGGCGCUUGUGACUGCAAAGCUAGAGUGCGGCAGAGGGGGAUGGAAUUCCGCGUGUAGCAGUGAAAUGCGUAGAUAUGCGGAGGAACGCCGAUGGCGAAGGCAAUCCCCUGGGCCUGCACUGACGCUCAUGCACGAAAGCGUGGGGAGCAAACAGGAUUAGAUACCCGGGUAGUCCCUGUCUCUUAUAC